rnacentral:lncRNA from 1 species
AUUGUACAGGGCAAGGCUGGCUGCUGUACCUUACUUUGUAUGCAAACAGCAUCCAGCAUCCUCUCUGGAUUGAGGUGUGGGUGAAAGAUGUCACUCAAGCUGAAAUCCACUGUCGAGGUACCCACCCCCUAAGAGCUACUGCCCAGGGCCACUGGGUGCUCAGGCCCUGCUCCGGAAGCCUGCUAUAGCGUAGCUCAGAUCACAUGAAACUGGAUAAAGAACACUCAAGAGAGAGAACUUAGCUUCAAGACAGUGCCAGGGUGGGACACUGAUGAGGGAUAAGCCUGCUUGAGUAACCGGCAAGCUGCAGUGGGAACCCAGAGCUUGCUUGAAUAUUUUUCUUGCGGUUGCAUAGACUUGACCAUUUCUAUCGUAAGUUAAAUGGUGAAAUGGAAAAGUCUUGACCAGAGAUAAACCCUAUUCAUGAUCUUCUCUACAUAGGACUCUUUGGCUGUUAAAGAAUUACGCUUGCCUUUGUCGCUGGUGUGGGUGUGUGUGUGUGUGUGUGUGUGUGUGUGUGUGUGUGUGUGUGUGUGUGUGCGCACGCGCUUGUGCUUGCAUGAGUGCGUGUUUAAGUUCUCGGAAUUUCCUGAGAGGAUGGAGUGCCAUUGUUAUUUGUCUGCCUUGUGCCUGACACAGCGGAAUUUAUGUCAAGAGAUGACCCAGCAUGGUAGCUAGCCACUACCAGCUUGGUGAUUGAUUACAGGGUUGAGGUCAGCCCAAGACUUCUGUGAAUCCUGUCUACAGAUGAUGGUUCAAUUCCAGCUCCAGUUGAGACCUAGUGCAAUUUCCCUGCAGAUGAACACAUAGCUGUGCUUUAGGCUGAUGCACCCGUGUCCUGUGACGGCAGGACAGGGAGGCUGUGUGCUCGAGACCCAUCUAGACCUUGCCCUGUUUGUGUCUUUAUUUGACUGCUUCUGAUUCUUUUUCUUUUGAAUAAAGUUCAAAUCAUAAGUG